rnacentral:rRNA from 1 species
GACAGAGGGUGCAAACGUUGUUCGGAAUUACUGGGCGUAAAGCGUGUGUAGGCGGCUCUGCAAGUCGGGUGUGAAAGCCCCGGGCUCAACCCGGGAAGUGCACUCGAUACUGCAGAGCUAGAGUGUCGGAGAGGUUGGUGGAAUUCUCGGUGUAGAGGUGAAAUUCGUAGAUAUCGAGAGGAACACCGGUGGCGAAGGCGGCCAACUGGACGAACACUGACGCUGAGACACGAAAGCGUGGGGAGCAAACAGG